CAUGUAAGUGUCCAGAUUGUAGAUGCUUCAUUGCGUAGGAUAUAAGUCCUGAAACGAUUUGCUGACAAAGAAGAAUCAUUUCCUAGUUUCUGAGUCAAGGAAAAUUGGCUCUCUUGAUUUCCCAAUGAUGGCUCAAAUGAUCUUUUAUGCUGUUGACAUACCAGAAGACUUCCCUUUUUAGAUUGUUGAUAAUCCUGGUGAUCAAGCAAUUUUUCAUGGUUCUUCCAAUCGAAAUUUAUGCAGGUUAAGUAGAAUGAUGAGCUGGUUAAUAAUUCUUUUAUUUUUUCAUUUCUCUAGCAUAGAUUUUUAGA